rnacentral:rRNA from 1 species
UACGUAGGGUGCAAGCGUUGUCCGGAAUUAUUGGGCGUAAAGGGCGUGCAGGCGGUGCGGUAAGUUUAGCGUGACAGUCUCCGGCUUAACUGGAGAAGGCCGCUGAAAACUGCUGGACUUGAGGGCCAGAGAGGGACAUAGAAUUCCGGGUGGAGUGGUGAAAUGCGUAGAUAUCCGGAGGAAUACCAAAGGCGAAGGCAGUGUCCUGGCUGGCAACUGACGCUGAGGCGCGAAAGCUAGGGGAGCGAACAGG